AAAGGAAGCGGGAGAGAGAGGCACGGAGAGGGAGAGAGGGCGCGGGAGAGGGAGGGGAGAGAGAGAAAGAGGGAACGCGGGAGAGAGGGAGAGAGAGUGGGGGAGAGAACGCGGGAGAGGGAGAGAGAAAAGAAGAGCGUGGAGAGAGAGCGGGAGGGUUUGAGAGAGGGAGAGGGAGAGCGGCAGAGCGGAAGAGAGAUAGAUAGUGGGAGAGAGGCGGUGGGAAGCUUUGGGAACCCCCCGCCCCCGCCCCCAAAUUCUCAGUUUCAAAACCCUGC
rnacentral:lncRNA from 1 species